GCUGUUCCCGCGCCCGGGGCAGGAAGGCGCGCUGGGCAGUUAGGUGCCCUCAGGGUGCCAGGCUCGUCAGACUGCUGGCCUUUCAGUCAUGUAUUCCAAUAUUUUGAGAAGGCCUACUGUGUGCCAGGCGCUGGGCCCCAGGGAGCGAAGCCGUCGUGCCGCCGCCGUAAUUGUACGCGGGUGCAGGGGUGCAGGGCUGGAAGCAGAUGCCUACUUGGUGCUGGUGUCAUUCCCAAAGGGGAGGCCAUCGCUGGUGCACAGGGAGGCUGGGUGGACAGAAUCUUCCUUUUUCUGCCACCCCCCAAAGCCAUCUAGUGAGAGGUGCUGCCAGCUUUGAAGGUUCCCUGCUCUCCCUGGUCCUCUGGUUCUCUUCAGACUCAUCUCGAGAGGAUGGACUGUCCCAGUGGGUCUCCGGUAAGCGCUGCAGUGGCUUCCUUAGCUGCCCCUCCCUGGAUACUGGUGCACAUAAGGAUGAGAGGAUGGGUGGAUGCAAGGACAAAGGGACAGGUUUUCCCCAAGCCCUCCUUCCCGGUGAGAUCCUCUCUAACCACUACAGCGGAACUGCCACCCUUCCCCCAGCCAAGCAUCCUUCCCCCUCCUGCCCCCACCUCUGCUCUCUUUCCCCCAUAGCACCUUUCUGCACCUCGAAGACCCUCUCCGUUCAUCAUUGCCUUUCUCCCAUGUUAGUGCAGAGGCUCCCCGAGGGCAGCGAUCCCUUUUUUUUUUUCUUUUUUUUUUUUUCUUUUUUUUUUUUUAGGGCUGCACCCAGGGCAUAUGGAGGUUCCCAGGCUAGGGGUCUAAUUGGAGCUGUAGCCACCAGCCUACGCCACAGCCACAGCCGCGCCAGAUCCGAGCCGCAUCUGCGGCCUACACCACAGCUCACGGCAAUGCCAGAUCCUUAA
rnacentral:lncRNA from 1 species